rnacentral:rRNA from 1 species
UACGAAGGGGGCUAGCGUUGCUCGGAAUUACUGGGCGUAAAGGGCUUGUAGGUGGCCAACUAAGUCAGACGUGAAAUCCCACGGCUUAACCUGGGAACUGCGUCUGAUACUGGGAGGCUUGAGUAUGGGAGAGGGAUGUAGAAUUCCAGGUGUAGCGGUGAAAUGCGUAGAUAUCUGGAGGAAUACCGGUGGCGAAGGCGGCAUCCUGGACCGGUUCUGACACUGAGGUGCGAAAGCGUGGGGAGCAAACAGG